rnacentral:rRNA from 1 species
UACGGAGGGGGCUAGCGUUGUUCGGAAUUACUGGGCGUAAAGCGCGCGCAGGCGGUUGGUUAAGUGAGCUGUGAAAUCUCCCGGCCUAACUGGGAGGGGUCGGCUCAGACUGGUUGACUUGAGGACAGCAGAGGUGGGUGGAAUUCCGCGUGUAGCAGUGAAAUGCGUAGAUAUGCGGAGGAACACCGAUGGCGAAGGCAAUCCCCUGGGCCUGCACUGACGCUCAUGCACGAAAGCGUGGGGAGCAAACAGG